AUUAUCAGUGAAAUGUGAUGUCGGAUUACAAGGGGCGCCGGACUAGCCAGGAGCCAGAUUAGCGAGUGUCUACUGUAGUUU